AAAAAAUGAAGCCUGCGACGGCUCAUAUACUAUUUCUGAAUUGUAUUUCUUUUCAAAGCUGUCAUCAGCAUUUUUCAGAGACAAAAUAUCUGAAAUACUGCGUCACGAUCGUUGUAUCAAUUCUCUUAACGUAAUGGAUCACUAUAUUUACCGGCAGAGACUUGCAUGUGAUAAAAGUGAAGAUGUGCGAUUGUCGAAACAGGAGACAAAGACAAUAGUAAUGAUGCAAUGAUUGGAGAUGAUAUACGAUAUCAGACAGGGAGUUUGAAUUAGAGGAGAUACUCUCAGAUCUAAACGAAGAAAAUUUUUUUUAAACUUGGCAGUUAAUGAUCCUUUGAGAAUUAAGAUUCUCACAAUUGCUCCAUCGAAUUGGAGUAUCAAUAAAAUUGCUCGUGAAUUCGGCGCCUCAAAACUUUAGUCAAAACAACUCAAAGAUGCGGAGUAUCUUAGAUGAUACAACUGCCAAAAAAGCUGAUAAAAUUGUACCCGAUUCAACUGUCGAAAAAGUCAAGGAAUUCUAUAAACAAUUUAUACAGUAGGAUUAUGCUUGAACAAAAAGAUGUAUCUAUUAAGAUUGAUUGGGAAUCGAACUACUAUGCAGAAACGUCCCCUGCUCUAUGAUUUGAGAGAACUCUAUGAUUUAUUUAAAAAAUCAGAAAAAACUAUUCAGUUGGGGUUCAGUACGUUCGCUAAAUUACGUCCCAAAUAUUGUAUUCUUGCUGAGGCUCGUGGAAUACACAGCAUCUGUGUUUGCAUAAUACAUCAGAAUUGUAAAUUGAAGCAAUAGAUAUUCAGAAACUUAGUUGGGAUCCAGAGAAAUAAAUUAACAAUUGUAAAGAUUGUUUACAACAAAUGAUGUGCAAAAAUCCCACUCUACAGUGCCAUUUAGAUGAAUGUUCCAAGUGUCCUGAUCUUUCUUCUCGUUUAUUUAAUUCAUUGAAUGAAACGAAUAUUUUUCAGGUGGAAUACAGUGCAUGGACGAAAUUCUUGAAAAAGGGAUUAAGGUCAAAUCUACAUUUACCUGGUGGUUACUCUACCCAAACAUGAUAACUUCAGAUUGGAUUAUUUUCCAUCAUAAUGCAUUGCUGAAAAAGUCGAUAGCGGAUCGAUAUCCACAUCUCCAUGCACGAUGAUAAGACGAGGACGAUCGGUGAAACCACCCGAAUGGGGACCGAUUAAUAUUCAGGCCUGGGUCGAGACUCGAAACCAGUCGAGUGAGUCCCCAAUCAGACGAGUAAACUUACGAAAAAUCUGGAUUUUCAGAGAUUCGCGAACCGCUGCGACACGCGAGGUUGCGAUCUUGACUUUAUAAUAUGAGCUUCCGAUAUAUACGUGUAUUAUUCAUACGAGGAGAUCGACAGUAGAAUAAAGUAAUAUUGUACUCGACGUCGAGGAGGUCUAGGCGCUAACAGCUUAAUUAUGUUGCGAUUAAUUACAGGAUAGAUCUAUGCAAAACCUGAUUUUAUCAAUACGUAAAACGAUGUAUCAUUUCACUCAUGCAUUUAUUGACACACUAAUUUUUCGUUAAUUUUGCUUAGAGAAAAACAUUUUAUGAUUUUAAGUUUCCUUCGGAACUAAAAUCUGUAAUAGUUAGGACCGUUUUAAUAUAUAUGCCAGUAUUCAUAGUCAAUUCUUAUAUUUAAAAUUGUCUUAAGUACAGUCUUAAGAUAUUAUGAAAACUAAUCAGAGAGCCUCAUUUUAAAACAUUAUAAAUAAAAACGAAUUAUGA
rnacentral:lncRNA from 1 species